UGAUAAGAUCAGCCAUAUUGAAGACCAUGU
rnacentral:piRNA from 1 species